CGUGCUCUCUGCCUCUUACUUUCUUCCAGAUUGCCGCACCGCGCUGCGUCUUCGCAGUGGACUGCAGGGGAACACAGAGGGGAGAGGAAAAAAGAAUAGUUCAGACAACGGCAUAUGGACAAGAGGUUCGGCACGUGCCACUGUCGCCUUUUCACGUCGAGCAUUGCCAAGAACGCACAAGGGAAAAAAAUAAAACACCAGGCACUGCUUUUUGUGCGCGUAAACACUAAUAACACCAACAACACACACGAAGGCGGGAGUGGUGUGGGAAAGAAAACCUGCUGCUUCAUCCUGAACCCGUCCCUGCAACGUUUUCUUACUUUUUGUUGUUGCUCAUCGCGCGCACUUAGGGAAGCUUUCUGCAUCCCUGCCUCCGUUUAGAGUGCUCUUUUCCUCUAUUGCUUCUCUUCGCUUUCGCCUGUUCUGCCGCGUUUUCCUGUUCUUGUUUGGCUUUCCUGCCUUGCUGCGCCGGUGCCAUUCCGCGUUCCGUUUCCGUCUCUGACAUCCUCCUCACCCCUGGUGCUCUCUCCCUCUCUCCGCUAGAUCAUACUGUCACUUCUUUGUUUUGUGUGUUUACUUUGUUUUCGUUUUUUUAGUGUGUGCGCCUGUGCGUGGCCCGUAAGCCGAACUUACACCUGUUUGUGCGUUGCAGUUUUCUCGUCGCCGUCUUCGCUCCGCUGUAUCUCAGCGAUACCGUGCACGUGUGCACAAAAAGGUUUUCACCGUGGCAUAGAUUGCGCAGCAGCCGCGUCUUUAUCAUACACCAUCGCGAAGUGCGUUCUUUUCUCUUUGGAAAAAGAAGAAAAGAGAUUAUCGGUGCUUUCGUUAUCGGACGCGUGCCGGUGGUUGUUUGCCCACGCCUUGCGUGGGCAUUCACCUGUGCGUGUGUGCGUGUUUCUCUUGAUGGUGAGGCUGCAAAGCUCAGCUCCCCCCCCUCCCCUUAGCAGCUCUUUUUUUUUUUCCUUUUUGGUGCGUUCGUUCACCAGAUCCCUUGCGCUUCGUUUAUUCUCUGCGCAGCAUGGAGGUUCCGGCCACCAGGCCUGAGGUAACGACCACCGGCAUCUACGGUGAGGAGCUGAACGUCGUCCGCCAGCACCUUCUACGCAGCGAAUUAUGCUGGUGUGGGGACCUCACCAGUCGCACCCAGGUGCUUGUUGUCGGCUCGGCUCUCUGUGCCGCAUCUCGCAAGCUGUCGGUGGCACGCAUGCGCGGACUCCCGUGCGUCUCCAUCGAAUGGGCGACAGACGGCGCCUGCGCGAUGGAAUCCACGCACCGCUUCGACAUCGGCCACGGAUUGACGGGGAAGGAGGUGUGCACCACAAGCCUGAAUCACCUUGAGCGAGGCCGUGUGCAGGCCGUGUGCGGCGCGCGCCGCGCCACCUACAACUCUAUGCUUACGCGGCACUGUGAGUUGCUGGUUGCAUCAACAGCGGCACUCAGCUCGAUACUAUUGUCAUCGUUACCUACAGCGACCUCAAACGACAAAGUCCGGUUCGCGCGGAAGCACGGCAUCCCGAUUAUUGCCAUGGAGGAGUUCGUGCUGCUCUACGCCACCGAGCAGCCCUCCCGUCACCACCUGCCGCUAGAGGAUGCGGUGCCAGGGCGGGUAGCGCACGACGCGUCGUUGCUCAGGGCGUCCGACCGGGGCAGCAGAGCUAGCAGUAGCAAUGGUCACACAGAUGUCGCCUGCGAACCGAAACACAGGACAGGGUGCAGCUCGACUGGGGCCUCCGCAGGCUCUCUUAGCUCGUCGAAUGACAACGGGGCGCCGGUCUGCGGGUCGGUGCGCCCCUCAGCACUGCCGGUGCGGUCUGCCACUUCGACUCUCAGAUCCAGUGUCGCUAGUCGUGGGCGCAGUAUCACAAGCGUGCGAGGGUCUCGCCAUACAGAGGGGACGUUUAGGGGUUGCGACAGCAUUAUGCUCAGCGCCGUUCAGCCGUCUCUGUCGUCGUCACAGCUCAUGCCCACUGCAUCGACAGCGGCCUGCGCCUCCCCGCCAGGGAUGUCUCGGCGUCCACUUGCCGAUGAGUUCUCUGACGUUGUUGCCUACUGCAGCCCUCCACACCGGCUCACAACGCAGCAGCACGACCUGCUGAGUGGCAUGGGAGUCACUGUCUCUCCUCAGCUUACGCCGUUCACGACACAUGUCCUCGUCCUUGGCGACGGCGUGGAGGAGUGCCUCUACCCGCGUCCUGGCCUGCAAGUCGUGUCGUGGCAGUGGGUGACGCAGUGCCGGCUGGAACAGCGCCGACUUUCAUGCCUCGGCUUCCGCGUCCAGUGCGUCUUCCGUCCCGUGUUGACCUUCACAGGACUUGCGCCGGCAGACCGGCACGCGCUCCUCUUAGCGCUGCAGCGGUCUGGGCUGCCGGGGAAGGUGCAAGAAGCCCUCGUGCUUGGUGGCAGCGGUGAUGGGCGAUAUGGCAGUGCUUCCAGUCUUCCCCUAGAGCCGGAGGGCAACCCGUACCUCCCGUGCAACACAACGCAUCUUGUGGUACCUCGCGGCCAGCUUCUUUCCUCCCAAAAGGUUGCGGCGCUCGCCCAGCACCACUAUAAGCACUCUUCGCGCCCACGACCGCACUCGUCGGCGCCCUUGACUUCGGCAUCGGCAUGCCGCCUCGUCGGGGUGGACUGGGUCUAUCGAUCCAUUCAGCAGGCGCAGUGGCUGGAUGCAGACCUCUUCACGCUGGCAAUUCCGACUCCUGAGGCGUUCACCUUCGUCAAAACGGUCCGCGCAAACGUCGCACGCACGGCGGUACCACACAGCGGCCAAAAUUCCCAGGAGAGCCUCUCAGUGCGGCUGCGCAUCUCUCAACCUUCCUCGGCGUCAGCGACAGCGACAAACCUCGCUAUGCAGACGCCGGCCUUGCGCCAACCGUCGCCAUCUCGUUGUCGCUGCCCUCGCUUGCAGGAUGCGAUUGAAGGCGGCGUGGAGGGGGGUCUAGGGAAGCCGGCGGUGGGAGGAAGAGUAGUGGAAGACAGGGAGGAGGAGGAGGAGGCGGCCUCAUCCCAGCAGCCCAACACAGACGUUGGACGCGCCAACGACACGGCUUCGCCACCCCCACCGCCCCACCGCGCGAGGGACGAUGACGACGAGGAAGCCGGUGGCGAGUCCCCGUUGGCAGCAGCAGCGGUGCGGUCUGCACUGCAGGCAAUUCACUCCACCUCUCCCCACCCCUCCUCUGCCCCGUCCCGCUCUGCGCGUUCGCCGUCGGCGACGGGAAAGCAAGAGGGCGGUGCACCCUACGCAAGGGACGAUCUUGCCGUGACGCUGCACCACCACGCCGACCCACCAUUGUCCUCCUACGCCUACCUCACCACUCAGUGCACACCAGGCUUUGAGAGCCUUCUAGGGGAACUGGAGGCUGCUCCGCCGGGAACGCUGUUCGGGGCGUCCGCGGUGCAUGCCUCGCUUUAUCCUCGCCUUCUGGCCUGUACCACAGCCAACGCAUCCGCCGUCUCCGCUCCGUCUGGCGGCGAUAGGGAGGGUCAAGUUCAACGAAGUGGAUCGUGCUCGGCUACCGCGCCGCCCACCGGCGCCGAUCUGUGCGUCGAGCAACGCGCGCUCCUCCGUCGCACCUCCGCGCAGCCGCACAUGAUCCAUCAGCAGCAGCAACUGCUAGGCCGCACCAUGUCAGAUGAAUCACAGGUUAUUUUUUACCAGAUGGCGCUCGACGAGGACGGUGGUAUUGCCGCAGCCCCGCCAGCAGCUUUGCACAGCAACCCAUAUGCGAUCACCGAAGCCGUAGAGGAUAGGAGGAGAGCCAAGGCCGCCAUGCCAUCUGCCAGCUGCGUCGCUGGAGCAGUCACCCAUGUUUACCCCCGCUCCGCCUCUACCUCGGCGGUGUUCCUGAUUACGAAAGACGCGCUCAAGAGCGACUUUGACGCCUUUGUGGAUGCCUUUCCGCACGUUCAACGCACAAGCAAGCCGGAGGAAUGCACACACUUCAUCACAGCAAAGCCGUCCAAGACGGAGCAGUUUCUGUGCUGCCUCGCCGCAGGUCGCUGGAUACUGACGCCUGCGUACGUCACGGCGUGUGCGCAGGCCGGUUAUCUCGUCAGCGAGGCGCCGUUUGAGUGGAGCGCCGAGGUAGCCGCGUCGCUGGGCUGCCGCUCCUCCGUUGCAUCGCUUGCGCGUGGCUGUCGGGUGCAGCGCGAAGCGUCUCAGCUGCCGUUUGCGUCGUGGCAGGUGCGUGUGUGCUGCACUAACUCCGCCCGCACUGCAAGCUUCCUGCGAGUGCUUCGUAACGGCGGGUGCACGUCUCUCGAGGGUGCCACUGCCGCGGAGGUGAUAGCGGCGUUCAAGAAGCGAGGCAGUGCGCCGCCGUCGUCAACCGAGCUCGUGCUCGCCGAUGAUGCCGUCUUCAGCGAGCGUGAGCUGGAGGACUUUGCAUCCCGUCCCGCGUCCAUCGCGUGCCCUAUCAUGCGUCUGGAGUACUUGGUUCAGUUUCUGUGCGCGCCAGACACGCCGCGGUCUGAGAUGAACUUGCUGCACUGGGGACGGCCCCGAAAGCGCAGUCGGACGGAGGCAGCGGCAACCGAGUAGGCGUGCCUCAAGGAACGAUAGAGAAUAACGAAGGAAACGAAGGCAGCGGGCUUUUCUUCGUGCCGUGUCGCUCUUUUUCGUUUAGCUCUCCCUUUUCAUCUUCUCACCGUGUCUGCCUUUCGCUCUAUCCAUACACACAGGCGGUGCAUUGCUGUUGUGCGUGUGUGCGUCUGUGUGUACACGUGAUUUGAACCGAGCCUCUCUUUAUCUUCCUUCCUUAUCCGUUUCGAGCCACGAAAAACGCGUGAGGCGCGCUUUCCGCUCGUGUACAUAUCGUAGUUAGAUAACUUUCCAUCUGGACGUCAUGGUGCAUGAUCGCCGUUCACCCGGCUGUGACGCGGGGUGCGUGCGUGGCCUAUUUCC
rnacentral:misc_RNA from 1 species